rnacentral:lncRNA from 1 species
UUUGAUUUUUAAGUCAAUUUUAUAUCUUCUACUCUAUGACCCGAUCUGAUCUGAACCCAGUAUAUUAUUAGGGCUUGAGCUUGUUUGAGCCUUUAAGCUAUAAUUUAAGAUUUGUAUGAGUAAUAUCUUUAACAUAAACAUAAGUUUAAAAUUAUUUUUAUAUCCUAAUUUGUUUUGAGAGCAAUAUGGUCUAUUGUCUAUUUUCUGUGGUUAAUAGCAAUUGGCUAUAUAGUAAUUAAAAUGUAGUUGGCUGUAUUUAAUCCAGAUCCGAAUUUUUCAGGUUGAGGUCGAGUUAUAUAUGGACCCGAUCCAACCUAAGUAACCCAUUAGGUCGAACAUUUUAGCCAUGGACCCGAUUCAACCCGAUUCCAUCUUGUGUUAGGUUGGAUUUGGGUCCAACAUUUGGACCUCAUCAAGGAAUCGAAUCAUGUUAGGGUCACUCACGACCUAUUCGACUUGACCCAUUUGCACCUCUACUUGCCACAUGCCAUCC